UGCUGUGAACUCGAAGAGUAGGGCGGGACACGUGGUAUCCUGUCUGAAUAUGGGGGGACCAUCCUCCAAGGCUAAAUACUCCUGACUGACCGAUAGUGAACCAGUACCGUGAGGGAAAGGCGAAAAGAACCCCGGCGAGGGGAGUGAAAAAGAACCUGAAACCGUGUACGUACAAGCAGUGGGAGCCUCUUUAUGGGGUGACUGCGUACCUUUUGUAUAAUGGGUCAGCGACUUAUAUUCUGUAGCAAGGUUAACCGUAUAGGGGAGCCGAAGGGAAACCGAGUCUUAACUGGGCGUUAAGUUGCAGGGUAUAGACCCGAAACCCGGUGAUCUAGCCAUGGGCAGGUUGAAGGUUGGGUAACACUAACUGGAGGACCGAACCGACUAAUGUUGAAAAAUUAGCGGAUGACCUGUGGCUGGGGGUGAAAGGCCAAUCAAACCGGGAGAUAGCUGGUUCUCCCCGAAAGCUAUUUAGGUAGCGCCUCGUGAACUCAUCUUCGGGGGUAGAGCACUGUUUCGGCUAGGGGGCCAUCCCGGCUUACCAACCCGAUGCAAACUACGAAUACCGAAGAAUGUUAUCACGGGAGACACACGGCGGGUGCUAACGUCCGUCGUGAAGAGGGAAACAACCCAGACCGCCAGCUAAGGUCCCAAAGUCAUGGUUAAGUGGGAAACGAUGUGGGAAGGCACAGACAGCCAGGAUGUUGGCUUAGAAGCAGCCAUCAUUUAAAGAAAGCGUAAUAGCUCACUGGUCGAGUCGGCCUGCGCGGAAGAUGUAACGGGGCUAAACCAUGCACCGAAGCUGCGGCAGCGACACUAUGUGUUGUUGGGUAGGGGAGCGUUCUGUAAGCCGUUGAAGGUGUGCUGUGAGGCAUGCUGGAGGUAUCAGAAGUGCGAAUGCUGACAUAAGUAACGAUAAAGCGGGUGAAAAGCCCGCUCGCCGGAAGACCAAGGGUUCCUGUCCAACGUUAAUCGGGGCAGGGUGAGUCGACCCCUAAGGCGAGGCCGAAAGGCGUAGUCGAUGGGAAACAGGUUAAUAUUCCUGUACUUGGUGUUACUGCGAAGGGGGGACGGAGAAGGCUAUGUCAGCCGGGCGACGGUUGUCCCGGUUUAAGCAUGUAGGCGGAGGUUCCAGGUAAAUCCGGUACCUUUUAACGCUGAGGUGUGAUGACGAGGCACUACGGUGCUGAAGUGAUAAAUGCCCUGCUUCCAGGAAAAGCCUCUAAGCAUCAGGUAACACGAAAUCGUACCCCAAACCGACACAGGUGGUCAGGUAGAGAAUACCAAGGCGCUUGAGAGAACUCGGGUGAAGGAACUAGGCAAAAUGGUGCCGUAACUUCGGGAGAAGGCACGCUGAUAUGUAGGUGAAGCCCCUGCGGGCGGAGCUGAAAUCAGUCGAAGAUACCAGCUGGCUGCAACUGUUUAUUAAAAACACAGCACUGUGCAAACACGAAAGUGGACGUAUACGGUGUGACGCCUGCCCGGUGCCGGAAGGUUAAUUGAUGGGGUUAGCGGCAACGCGAAGCUCUUGAUCGAAGCCCCGGUAAACGGCGGCCGUAACUAUAACGGUCCUAAGGUAGCGAAAUUCCUUGUCGGGUAAGUUCCGACCUGCACGAAUGGCGUAAUGAUGGCCAGGCUGUCUCCACCCGAGACUCAGUGAAAUUGAACUCGCUGUGAAGAUGCAGUGUACCCGCGGCAAGACGGAAAGACCCCGUGAACCUUUACUAUAGCUUGACACUGAACACUGGUCCUUGAUGUGUAGGAUAGGUGGGAGGCUUUGAAGCGUGGACGCCAGUCUGCGUGGAGCCGUCCUUGAAAUACCACCCUUUAAUGGCUGGUGUUCUAACGUAGACCCGUGAUCCGGGUUGCGGACAGUGUCUGGUGGGUAGUUUGACUGGGGCGGUCUCCUCCCAAAGAGUAACGGAGGAGCACGAAGGUUGGCUAAUCCUGGUCGGACAUCAGGAGGUUAGUGCAAUGGCAUAAGCCAGCUUGACUGCGAGCGUGACGGCGCGAGCAGGUGCGAAAGCAGGUCAUAGUGAUCCGGUGGUUCUGAAUGGAAGGGCCAUCGCUCAACGGAUAAAAGGUACUCCGGGGAUAACAGGCUGAUACCGCCCAAGAGUUCAUAUCGACGGCGGUGUUUGGCACCUCGAUGUCGGCUCAUCACAUCCUGGGGCUGAAGUAGGUCCCAAGGGUAUGGCUGUUCGCCAUUUAAAGUGGUACGCGAGCUGGGUUUAGAACGUCGUGAGACAGUUCGGUCCCUAUCUGCCGUGGGCGCUGGAGAAUUGAGGGGGGCUGCUCCUAGUACGAGAGGACCGGAGUGGACGCAUCACUGGUGUUCGGGUUGUCAUGCCAAUGGCACUGCCCGGUAGCUAAAUGCGGAAGAGAUAAGUGCUGAAAGCAUCUAAGCACGAAACUUGCCCCGAGAUGAGUUCUCCCUGAGACUUUAAGUCUCCUGAAGGAACGUUGAAGACGACGACGUUGAUAGGUCGGGUGUGUAAGCGCAGCGAUGCGUUGAGCUAACCGAUACUAAUGAACCGUGAGGCUUAACCUUACAACGCCGAAG
rnacentral:rRNA from 1 species